GGUUCAACUGAUUUGAAGAGCUUGCUCAGAUAUGAUGAUGGACAUUGCAAAGAGUGGCGAACGGGUGAGUAACACGUGGGAAACCUACCUCUUAGCAGGGGAUAACAUUUGGAAACAGAUGCUAAUACCGUAUAACAAUAGCAACCGCAUGGUUGCUACUUAAAAGAUGGUUCUGCUAUCACUAAGAGAUGGUCCCGCGGUGCAUUAGUUAGUUGGUGAGGUAAUGGCUCACCAAGACGAUGAUGCAUAGCCGAGUUGAGAGACUGAUCGGCCACAAUGGGACUGAGACACGGCCCAUACUCCUACGGGAGGCAGCAGUAGGGAAUCUUCCACAAUGGGCGAAAGCCUGAUGGAGCAACGCCGCGUGUGUGAUGAAGGGUUUCGGCUCGUAAAACACUGUUGUAAGAGAAGAAUGACAUUGAGAGUAACUGUUCAAUGUGUGACGGUAUCUUACCAGAAAGGAACGGCUAAAUACGUGCCAGCAGCCGCGGUAAUACGUAUGUUCCAAGCGUUAUCCGGAUUUAUUGGGCGUAAAGCGAGCGCAGACGGUUAUUUAAGUCUGAAGUGAAAG
rnacentral:rRNA from 1 species